rnacentral:lncRNA from 1 species
GGAAAAUUAGAAGUUACAAGAAAUCUAAUAUGUCUGUAAUAGACAAGAAAAAACUCAACAUAUGGAAAAAAUAAUUAGGAGAGACUUUUCUCCUCUAGCCAUAUAGUAGACCAAAUAUUCUAAAAAAACCUUCUUACUACAAUCUAGAAAUGCAAGAGAAGAUACAAGAAACAUCCUUUAAAAUAUAAACUGAGCUUAUAAGGAAGUCAAGGAAACCUUCAAGAGCUCAAAAUGAAUGGGAAGUGUAGUGAAUUGCAAUUUUGCCUUGGCAUCUAUUUUGAAUAUAAGUUGGAUUUUCUCAUUCCAAAAUCAAGGCUCAGUCACCCUUGUCACAGUUUCCAGUUCUCCACCUCCUCCAGUUCUUCAAUGGGAUUGACCCAGGUAUCUGCCUCAUUCAACCACCUCCUGGUUGAAUAAGGGACAUCUACAUACAACCUAGUUGACUUGCCCCAGAGACCCCUACACCCUGCAUAGACUGCGUAGAUAUGCUGCUGCAAUGACCACCUCUCAGUCACAACACAAAUCCACAGAACUCAUUCCUGCUUGCUCUGAGAACACCAAUUAGAACUCCCCAUGGAGGCUUGUUAUUUUUAUCCAUUUAUUCCUUGAUUUAUGGGUUAUUUGUUGUUAUAAUCCCCUUACCAGCUUGAUGUUAUUUUUUACUUUUUGAGACAGAGUCUUGCUCUGUCACCCAGGCUGGAGUACAGUGGCGUGAUCUCGGCCCACUGCAACCUCUGCCUCCCGGGUUCAAGCAAUUCUCCUGUCUCAGCCUCCCGACUAGCUGGGACUACAGGCGUGAGCCACGGUGCCCGGCCUGAUGUUAUUUGUAUUUCACACGAAAGACUGGGAGGAAGCCACUCACAGAGCAGCACAUCAUACAGUCCAAGAGCUGGGACUCACCCCUGGGGAAGACCGAGGAAGGGCACUUCAUCGUCUCAAUCCCAAUUUAAAUUUGCAUGAAAACCCCAUGGAAACUGAGGAAGAGGGUCUGAGUCCAAGGCAGUGUCCAUCCUCCAAAGGAAAGCACAGGCUUGAGACUCACAGACCCAGGGAAUAUGUACUGUGCAUAAUUAGGUAAAUCAUGCCCUCUGGUGGCUACUUUUGACUGAGACAAAAGUGUGCACCUUCAGGGCCCGCUGGUGUCCAGCAGCGAUGAGAAAGCCCUGGCUUUGAUGGUGUCAGGAGUGUCCACAAUCACCACCAGGUGGGGAGCCUUAACAAUUCCCGACAUAAAUGGAAAGAUCCAAACUUUUCGGAACUAAUUUCAAAGUUACAGGCUGGGCAUAGUGGCCCGUGCCAGUAGUCUCAGCUACUCAGUAGGCUGAGGCAGGGAGGAUCGCUUCAGCCCGGGAGGUCGAGGUGGCAGUAGCUGUGGUUGUACCACUGCUCUCCAGCCUGGACAACUGAGCGAGACCCCAUUAAAAAAAAAAGUUACAGAAUAGUUACAAGAACUGUACAAAGAACUCCCAUAUACCCUUGGCCCACAGACCUCAAUGAAGUUCCCAAAUCACACCUGUUGCCAUGACGAUGACCUUUCCGCAAAAGGUGUGUCUGAGUCUCUUCCGUCUCCUUCAGUAAGGAACAGUUCUUCAGCCUUUGACUUCCUUCUCUGGACUCUUAACGACCAGCGACCAGCUGCUGGUAGAAUAUUCCCCGCCGAGGGCUGUCCGGUAAAAUAUUCCUCCACCGAGGGCUGUCAGGGAGAAUAUUCCUCCACCGAGGGCCGUCCGGUAGAAUAUUCCCCGCCGCGGGCCGUCCGGUAAAAUAUUCCUCCACCGCGGGCUGUCCGGUAGAAUAUUCCUCCACUGCAGGCUGUCUGGUUGCCCCAUGGUUUUGUUCAGUUGCACAUUUUGGGCAGUAGCAACCCAGGGGUGAAGCUGGAUUCUUUUUUUGGCAUCACAAAAGAACCAGGUGGCAUGCGAUGCCAGUUUGUGCCAGGACUGGUGAUGCUCAUCUUGAUCCCUUGAUUAAGGUGGAGGUGGCCAGGCUUCUCCACUGCCAAAUCAUUCUUCUCCUCUUUGUAUUGAAUGCAUAGUUCAUGGGGAGAUCCUUUGAGACUUUGUAUACCUAUUCC